rnacentral:rRNA from 1 species
AUGACCCUGAUAUGUGUGAAUGAAUUUCUACCAUGUCAUUUCUUUUCCUCUUCCACGAGUUCCUCUUCAUCUUUAGCUUCAACAAAUUUCGUGGUAGGGCUAGGAGGGGGCUGGAGUGCUCCACCUCGCGUGAUCCCCCUUCUUACCCCGCGUAGGGCCUCGUCGCACGCGGGCCAUCGAGGAAGGGUCGGAUGGGUAGGAGGAUGGAUCGGGGAAGCUGACUGCACGCCACAAUUAGGCCGGGGAUCCUCUCGUCCUCUGCUUCGACGCCUGCCUCCACCUGCAAGGACUUCGCGCCGCCGCGCCGGACCCCUCCGUCUCCCGCGCCAGUCCGCCUUCGCCCAGCUCCGGCGAGCUCCUCGCUAG